rnacentral:rRNA from 1 species
CAAUAGCGUAUAUUUAAGUUGUUGCAGUUAAAAGCUCGUAGUUGGAUUUCGGGUGAAGUCGACCGGUCCGCCGUUGUGGUGUGCACUGGUUGGUUUCGUCUUGAUGUCGGGGACGCGCUCCUGGCCUUAACUGGCUGGGACGUGGAGUCGGCGAAGUUACUUUGAAAAAUUAGAGUGUUCAAAGCAGGCCUACGCUCUGAAUACAUUAGCAUGGAAUAACGCGAUAGGACUCUGGUCUUAUUGUGUUGGUCUUCGAGACCGGAGUAAUGAUUAAGAGGGACAGUUGGGGCGAUUCGUAUUUCAUUGUCAGAGGUGAAAUUCUUGGAUUUAUGAAAGACGAACUUCUGCGAAAGCAUUUGCCAAGGAUGUUUUCAUUGAUCAAGAACGAAAGUUAGGGGAUCGAAGACGAUUAGAUACC